rnacentral:rRNA from 1 species
GACGAACGCUGGCGGCGUGCCUAAUACAUGCAAGUAGAACGCACAGUUUAUACCGUAGCUUGCUACACCAUAGACUGUGAGUUGCGAACGGGUGAGUAACGCGUAGGUAACCUGCCUGGUAGCGGGGGAUAACUAUUGGAAACGAUAGCUAAUACCGCAUAAUAUUAAUUAUUGCAUGAUAAUUAAUUGAAAGGUGCAAUUGCACCACUACCAGAUGGACCUGCGUUGUAUUAGCUAGUAGGUGAGGUAACGGCUCACCUAGGCGACGAUACAUAGCCGACCUGAGAGGGUGAUGGGCCACACUGGGACUGAGACACGGCCCAGACUCCUACGGGAGGCAGCAGUAGGGAAUCUUCGGCAAUGGACGAAAGUCUGACCGAGCAACGCCGCGUGAGUGAAGAAGGUUUUCGGAUCGUAAAGCUCUGUUGUAAGAGAAGAACGGGUGUGAGAGUGGAAAGUUCACACUGUGACGGUAUCUUACCAGAAAGGGACGGCUAACUACGUG